GGUAUUUUCACCAUACCUAAUUAUUUUGGGUUUAGGAACAAGAGGUUGCAACAUCUGGAAAGAAGAGAAGAACAACAAACAGCAGAGAGUUCAAAGUGCAGUGGUGGGGACUACUAAGGAGCUGACCCUGAAAGCAACCAACAUGAAGCCACUGUAAACUCUGCCAGAGGAAGUUGAACACAGAAAACUGAGGUACCAGGAUACAUCCAAGGGACAAGAAUUCCCAAGAAUUCAAACUAAAAUCCCUGGGAGUCUAGGGAAGUUAAAGAAUUAUGACAAUAAAUACCUGACAAAUUACAAAGAGUGGUCGACAAAACCUUGUUCAAUGGAAGGUAGAACACAGGCUACAGGUGAGAGUCAAGUAAGCAGCAGCAUCUUCACCCCAUUAAGACCUCACUGUAGAUGAGCAGCAGAAAGGCCCCAUGUGUAAGGGGCACAGGAGACAGUGGCCCUGCUUGGUGGCACUGCUUGAGG
rnacentral:lncRNA from 1 species